GACAGUACGUCUUAACCUAUGUUUUGAGAAGCUGAUCGUAACUCUCCAAAGCUUCCUGUGAUUGCAGAUGAUAUACAAUUAACUUCACUCGUUUUAUACCCAAACGGCUGCUAAUCUGGAAAAUUCAGGUUGUGGGCUACCAGGCAGGAUACAAUGAGUAAAAAACUGGGUUACAGUUUCCAAUACUACCUUAGCUGUAAUUGUCUUCAAAAGGAGCAGCUUCUGAGAAUCAGGUUGCCAUAUUCAUAAUUAUAAGGAUAUACUGAUGUCUACUUUAGUUUUUGGUGACAGUCCUACACAAUCCACUAACACUCAACUAAAUGGUUCUUCAAAAACUGGUGUAGGUAUCAAAAGUUACAUUAAGAGGUUUUCUUCUUCAGCGAGAGCACGAGAGAGAGGGAGACGUGUGUGUGAGAGAGAGAGAAAGAGAGAACUAGAGUUUAGGUUGCCCCAGUAUCCCUUGCUGUAGUUAGGUGCUUGAACGUGUGCUUUGAAGAAAAAAGGUCACCUUCCCUUUAAACAAAACACUUUCAUAUCUCUUAUCCAGACCUCUGUACUUGCAGAACCUCCAGUUGUAGUUAAAGCUACAAGAUCUGCUCUGUGGCACUUUCCUUUUGAGUUUCCUUUACUGAUUCAUGAUGAGCUCCCAUGUGCUUCUCUUACAUUUCCAGCAUUCUGAACAAAUGUGUCCCACUCUGUUACAAUGGAAACAUCUCAACUUCUUACUUUCACAUCCAUACUCCAUACUUUUCUCCCUGAUCUGUGGGGAUAACCUUGAGUGGUUAUAGUUUCAACUUCCAAUGCUCGUAUCCACCUGUCAAAAUGAUUUUGUUUAAACACUUUUUGAAUUCCGUUUUUCUUUAUUAUUCAUUCACAGGAUGAAGAUGUUGCUGGCAAGGUCAGCAGUUUUUGCCCAUCCCCUAUUGCUCACAGGGUAAUUAAGAGUCGACCACAUUGCUGCAGGUCUGGAGUCACAUGUGGGCCAGAUAAGCAUAUGCUCAAGAACAGGUCAGAUCCUCGCUCAACAGGGGAAUCAGCUUCAGGUCUCAUUGCCAGAUGUGCCGAAGACACAGGCCAGACGAAUUGAACGGAGGUCUUGUGGCGGAAGCAAGGCAAAUACUGGCCACUUCCCAACAUCCACCAUGACAAGACUCUCAGUGCAGCACCAUACAGAGUGACAAUGAAGACCUGGAGAGAUUCAAAGUAACAGAAAUAAAUUCUCAUUAAUCACA